AAAAUCGAAAACGUUGGAGGUCAAGUCAAGUCCAGUGUCAACCUGCCUAUUUCAGGUAUUUUCCAGCCAUCUUUCUUUCUUUUGUCUUUCACUUUAUUCUCAUCCUCAUCUUAUUCUAAUUCUUUCUUUUUUUCUUGUUUUUUAUGUUUUCAAAUCGCUUCUGUAUCCAUGCUAAUUUCAAGUUAUUUUUAGUCAACAUUUAGUUUAGUUAGCUUGUUUGAUUUUGUUGUUUGAUUUUGCUCCAAUUUCCUCAUAUUUGGUUUUCUUUGGAUUCAUGGCUUCAGGAGUUCCUUAUACCUCCGUUGGCCCAGUUUUUUAAUUGGUCUUCUGAUUGAUUUUGGAAUUAAAUGUUGGGCUUCGUAUGUUAAAAUCCCAAAGAAGGGAGGGUCAAUCUGGGGUUUGCAAGCCCAGGGGCUGUGGUCGAUUUUUGGGUCAACUUGACCCAUGUUUAGUCUGAUGGUAAACAAUAAUGGGUAUUUGAGAGAAUUUAAUUGAGAGAAUCUUUAAAAACUGAACAGGGAAUUUCCAGGAAAGAGGGGUUUGGGCUAGUUCAGUAGUUGGUUUAGAAAUUCAGGGCUUAAAAUAAAAGAAUGAAAAUUGGGGGAACGACAAUUGGUAAAACUGAAAACCAAUACUGCUGCCCUAAAGGCCCUUUAUAUGCGGCAUGUUUUCUUUCUUGUCAAAGAAAAUUUAGAGACUUUAGAAAUCACAUGAUUGAAAAAACUUAGAAAACCGCUAAGCCUUCUUCUAGACUCUGAAUAUUGAAAAUUGUUUGAAAUUUGUUUGGUUUUGUUAUUUGAGUUCCCUGAUAAUCAGAAUUUUAAAAAAGCUUCUAAGAGCUAGGCUCAUCUAGGUUUAAUUUGGUUUGAAAGAAGCUGGUUUUGCUGAGCUGUUGAGCUGAUUUUGCUGUUGUUGCUAAUUCUUCAUUCUCUUUGUUUUUCUCUUGACUUCUAGGUAUCUUUUGGACAAUGGCUAACAUAUUUGAUGUAAACAUGCAAAUUGAACGUGGAUAUACGAUGAACAUUGGCAUAUUUUUGGAAUGUUAUUUCUUAUUCUUCAAUCUCAUUCAUAACUUGUAACAUUUUAGUUUUAGGUACAUUUUGUUAGUCUAUUUUAUAUUAUGGAUGUGAUGUAACAUUGUUAAGAUGAAAUUUAAGUUCUCCAGGUCUCUUUUAGUUGAUUGUUUGGUUAAACUUUCUAUGAGUGGGAAAAAUAGUCCAGGUUAUUCGCAGUAAAGGUUGAGCCCUAUGUUGCAUUACUCUUGAUCUGUGUUUGAGUAUGUUUAAAGUUGACUUGAUGUUUAGAUUCAGGUUUUUCCUAUGACAAUUUCAUGGGGUUUUUGUUUCUAUUAUGUUGGUCAAAAAGGGUCUAAUUGAUGUUUAAGCUUCAUAUAAUUGUCUAUAUGAAUACUG
rnacentral:lncRNA from 1 species